GCAGGGGAAGACAUUCAUUCACUUCUUUUUUUUGGUGACGUAGCUGGGGCAUUCAUGUGUUUUUAACCUUGAAUAAUUUUUGUCUCUAAGCUCCAAACAAGUUUUAUCCUGUCCACAGGUCAGUUUUGUUACAGAGGCCAAUUAGCAGCGCUACCUUCGCCUGCGGCAGAAAGCCAAGCAAUGGCGGGCCGAGCCCUACGGAGAGGUGAUGAAUAACUCCGGAGAGCUGUAAUUUGAAAGGGGGGCCUUUGAAGCAUUUACCUUACAUGGGACGCUAUUGUCACGGCAGGGUGUUUGAUCUUAAAAUAAUUUACUUAAUGAUCUCACCAUGGGAGCAAUUGGCGGCGCGAGAUUAGGCUGUAAGGCCUAAUGGACAUGGGAAAAGUUAAAAGUGCUGGGAGAAAGCCACUGUACUGGAAGGCCACAGGAGCAGGGCUGCCUCCCCGGGGCAGGUUUGCAAGCUGGAAUCAGAGCCAGAUGCAAAUAAAGUCCCCUCUCCGUGGGCAAGCAGGACUUCGAGGAGACAUAAGGAGAUGGUUGCCUUAGGCCCAAACACGGCUUUGUCCUCUAGAAAAGAAAACUCCAAAAUGUCAGCCCCAAUGUGACCUGUUUGUAACUCAGGCAUCUGCAUGGUUUCGGGACACAUGUAUCUCUUCCACUACCUGUGUAUUGGAAGAACCUUCUUUAGCGUUGGGUUCUGUUUUACAUCCGGAUGCCUAGGCUUCAGGUUUAAAUUUCUUCAGUCUUGCUCUUUCCCCCUGUUCAAACCUUGCUCACUGCCAUAGCCCCUUAUAAGAAGCAUCUUCCUUAACCCUGGGAUGAAAUUGGAAUAGUCACCUUAAGUGAGGACCCUACAGGAAAAGCACCAUCUAAAAAUUGCUACUGCUGUUGACCUAUUUGAUGCAAAACCUAAGGGAGUGUGGAUGCAAUAGAAUAUGAAUAAUUCACAAAUGAACUAAUUUCCUCUCUGAUGCGGAUUCCAGCCGAGCAAAUCACAGCAGCCUGUCCCUGCAACCCAAUGUCUUGGGUUGGGAAAAAAAAAAAAAAAAAAAUUCUUGGGGAAUGUAUCUAUGUCAUCCAGAAGAUUUGAAUUUGUUAUUUGUAUAAAAUAGAAGAGCUCAACUUUGAGUUCAUUAGAUAUGAGUCUGAUUCUCCAAGAUCCACCACUUUCCCCUGUGACCAGUAGGACGAUGAAAUAUUUUUAGUUUACGCAAAUUAAGUAAUGAUGAGCGCGAGUACUAACUUUAUGCCAGCAAACACCAGUCGGCCUGUGCCAAUUUGAGAGCAUGAAUGUUCCCCAUUAGUGUGAAGUUUUUUUUUUUUUUAAUUUAGUUUUGGAGUCCAUUUCCGGUUCAUCUUUUGAGGUACGCCUGAGAAUCUCCACCUCUUGAAGCAGACUAAACCCCACUUUGAACUUGUCUUUUAUCUCUUACCUGUACUUGGAAAUUAGCAACUUAUUAACAGGCUUCAAUAAUUUAUUCUCCGAUGCAUGGAAUUAACUGUCCGAGACUGAAGUAAAGAUUACAUAUGCUUUGUUC